rnacentral:lncRNA from 1 species
GCAGAUGUACCGGCCACCAGUCUAUCGGGCCGCAGAUGCUCGGAGGAAUGUUGGUACAUCCAACCUGAGGGUAUCAGCACCCAUGACAUCGGGCAGCAGAGAUCAGCCCAUGCGAAGCGGCCAGGCAGAGACAGCUAACGGAGGCGGUGGCGUUUCCAACAGUGUUCCUUGGAAUGCUGCAUUGGGCAAGGAGUCCUUAACUGACAUGACCGG